CAAGCCCUAUUUUCUCUUUUGCGAUCUCCUUUCUCUCCCUCGCUCUUUCUUCCCCUCACCAUUCUUCUCAAUAUAAUUUGUGUUUUUGGAAAGAAAGACUCCUGCAGACACGAGUCUCCAUAGCUCUUGAUAAACAAAUAAAUCCAGUCUUUUAUUGUUUGACUAUACUAAGUAGCUUGCUGUUAAGAGUGGGUGUCAACCGUGGGGGUUGUGGAGAAAGAAGAUGUAUAAAGAACGUGAGACAAACGGUAUAACGCGAUCUUAAUGAAUGGAUCUAUGAAGUGAUACAAUGAUUAAGCGCUCCUGCAUCACGAAGAUUUGAUCGAGCCAAAUAAGGGCAUGGCAAUGUUAUAUGUAAACUUCAA